AGAGUUUGAUCCUGGCUCAGGAUGAACGCUGACAGAAUGCUUAACACAUGCAAGUCAACUUGAACUUCGGUUUGGGUGGCGGACGGGUGAGUAACGCGUAAAGAACUUGCCUCACAGUUAGGGACAACAUUUGGAAACGAAUGCUAAUACCUGAUAUUAUGAUUUUAGGGCAUCCUAGGAUUAUGAAAGCUAUAUGCGCUGUGAGAGAGCUUUGCGUCCCAUUAGCUAGUUGGAGAGGUAACGGCUCACCAAGGCGAUGAUGGGUAGCCGGCCUGAGAGGGUGAUCGGCCACAAGGGGACUGAGACACGGCCCUUACUCCUACGGGAGGCAGCAGUGGGGAAUAUUGGACAAUGGACCAAGAGUCUGAUCCAGCAAUUCUGUGUGCACGAUGAAGUUUUUCGGAAUGUAAAGUGCUUUCAGUUGGGAAGAAAAAAAUGACGGUACCAACAGAAGAAGUGACGGCUAAAUACGUGCCAGCAGCCGCGGUAAUACGUAUGUCACAAGCGUUAUCCGGAUUUAUUGGGCGUAAAGCGCGUCUAGGUGGUUAUGUAAGUCUGAUGUGAAAAUGCAGGGCUCAACUCUGUAUUGCGUUGGAAACUGUAUAACUAGAGUACUGGAGAGGUAAGCGGAACUACAAGUGUAGAGGUGAAAUUCGUAGAUAUUUGUAGGAAUGCCGAUGGGGAAGCCAGCUUACUGGACAGAUACUGACGCUGAAGCGCGAAAGCGUGGGUAGCAAACAGGAUUAGAUACCCUGGUAGUCCACGCCGUAAACGAUGAGUGCUAAGUGUUGGUCUCAUAAGAGAUCAGUGCUGCAGCUAACGCAUUAAGCACUCCGCCUGGGGAGUACGACCGCAAGGUUGAAACUCAAAGGAAUUGACGGGGACCCGCACAAGCGGUGGAGCAUGUGGUUUAA
rnacentral:rRNA from 1 species